rnacentral:lncRNA from 1 species
CUGAGUGAAAGCCCUCUGGAAAGAGCAAGAGAUGCACGGAGGUGCCGGGGUUCCUUAGAAGCCCCUUUGCUGCUUCCCGCUGAGAAGUUUGGGGCAGAUCUCAAAAUGCGAACACGUUCUUAAGCUCUGUUGGGGGUGAUGGGAUAUCAGCCUGGUUGUGUGCUCUGCAGCUCACACGUGUUUGCCAGCCUCCACCCAGAGCUGGUUAAAAUUGCAGGCAGGAGGAGCAGAAGAUGUGAGGGUUAAGCACUGGGAAGGUAGAGCCGCCCUCCCCCCUUCUUCAUAACGUCUGUGGGGUGGGAGGAUUGAAAAGCUCUUAAUGAUGCAGAGCUGUGGUUUGAAACCAGAGAUUCGGUGUAUGAAUUUUUUAUAGGUCUUGUGACUGGAAGUUGAAAUGCCUGGGUGUUUAACAGAGCAUUUCUAUAGAAAUACCAGAGAGGUCAUUGGGACAGAACUGCAUCUGCCCUGUUACAGGCCUUUACCAUGGCUAAUGUGGGCAUAUGCAAUAAGAAAAUGUUGAAUUUGCAACUAAAUGGCUUUACAGGAAUGGAAUAAUAUAUUCAGAGAGGCAAUAACAGCUUUAGUUUGGGGUCAGGAGGAACAUCAGAUAAACGUUCAUUUGAGCUUUUUCCUCUGUUAAGCAAGCAGAAGAGAAAAACUGGCACAUUUGAUGCACCUGGUGGCAGCUUAAGGGUCUGAAGCACUGAGCUCAGUAAUCGCUUUUAUCCUUUCCCAGGGACAUUUUUAUCGAGGGCUGUGUAAUCUCGGAGACACGUCAUGAACAAGAACUGGGAGGGUUUCAGCAUUUUCACUGAUGACGACAGAAUAUCAGAAUUAGCAGCAAAUAACGUUAACGUGGGUGCAAAAAACGUUGUGUAACGAAGAGUUUGGAAAGGUUUUCUAUUUAACCCUAGACAAUGCGACCAGUCGAAAAGCUACAAAGAUUGCUGGAAGUUGCACUGAUGACAGAUUGCUGUGGUACAUCCCUUCCUUUCAACUGUCCUGAGGGUUCUACCAUCGAGAGAGCACUACAGCUGUCUGGUCUGGUUCUGAAGAUCCGUGAGAAGAACAAAAAGAAAUACAGUGAUUAGGACUGCCUGCACUUCUGGCUUUGAACUCUGCCAAGCACAAGGUCGCCUACUUAUUAGGUGGUUCUUCAUUUUACUGGAGUGAACCUCAUUAAAAACACUGAAGCUUUAAAGCAUGUCAGACUUUCUUUGAUGCCACCUAGAUUGUCUUCUUUUCCCCCCAGUGUUUCUUCUGCCCUUUGAAGAAGCAGAUUGCAAUAUAGAAAGAGCUCACCCCCACCUCCCACUGCUCCCCACACGAAGGCUUCUUUCCAUCUGAUCUGUCGUCCAUCUCUCUUCUGCAUCAGUAUUCAUUUCCAGGUCCCUCAAGUACAGUUCAGAUGGGCGAUAUUCCUCUGCUCCCCACUUCACCAACUGCUAGCUAUUUUUAAUGAGGAUGACUGAGAAUUUGAGGGAUACCAGGGAUACUUUGACUGAUUGUGCCAUCUUUGCUGCAACAAGUAAAGCACUUGAGAUGGUUAUUAAUAGGGCCCAAAUAGUUCUGAUCAGAAUGUGUCAAAACAAAUGAUAAUGAGGGUUCAAAUGCCAAGGUUUAGUUUGGCCCUAACACAAAGCCAAUAUUUUGACUGAAGCUCAUCUUUAAUUAUCAUCAAAAGUACUUUAUACUUGUUUAAUCAAGAGCUUAACAUUUUGGAUGUAAAGGUGCUUUGGAUACUUACUUCAAGAGGCUCAUGUUCAAGCUUAGAGUAUCCUGUCUCUUAAUUAGGGAUUCUGUUGCUAUCUCACCAGACCCUGGCUUUUAUUAUGUCAUGAAACAAGAUCCUCCUCUUAGGAACUGUAGCUCUGAGAUAGCUUAUCCAAGAUUUAAAAUGAAAAAAAAAAAAAAAGUCAUUUUAAAUGUAGAUGUAACAAAUUCAGUCUUUUUAUAUUACCAGUAUCCAAGGCAAAUGGAAGAUUUCCUUUAUUUGCAGCCUGCCAUUGCAUUUUAAGUCCAGGAACUGCUCUUUAAUUCAGACACAAGUGAGAUUUGUCACACGUAUGCUCCUUCGUGCUGCAUCUGCUUCCCUGGCUUCUGGUUUUCAUGUAAAUGAUAGCUCUCUUAAUCUUCAGAAAGUGAAAAGUUUGGGAUUAUUGUUACCACAUUUGUCAUUUAGCACUCUCUCAUGCAACUUUCCUGUACAUUUUCUGAAAUAGUUUUGCCAUCCCUCAUAAGGCAGCCUCCCCAAGGCCCUCUUACCUGUUCCCACGUCAGCUCUCUUAGAGCUGAGGAUUGUUUUAGCUACUUCCCCUAAUACAUUUCAAGUUUAAUUACAUGAUGAUCAAUAUGUCUCAGAUGUGCCACAACCUCAGAUUUUAAUUUUUUUUUUAAUGCUUGGCUCUCUUCCUCAAUUAUUCCAAAUCAGCCCUUGGCUGACACAAGAAGCCUCAGUAAACUGCAUUAAAAACAAUUUCGAAUUUGUGGAAGGGCUCAACGUCUGAAGAGCUGAUGCACACUUUAGGGAUGAACUCGUCCAGAGCAGUAGGUUGGUUUGCUUUGCAUUGGCAGCAGGCAAGGGAACAGCAAAUAGAAACGUUAAUUCACCGUCUUGUUUCCGUUCCUCCCUGGUAACAGGGUUUUACAACCGACUUCCUGUGCCUGUAUUGAUUUUCUGGAGUCAAAGAACAAAAAGAUAGAGCAUGAGGACUCACGUGACCAGCCUUUAAGCAGGUAGCUUUAUCACAACACGUUCUUGCACAAACUCAAGCAGCGUAAGGACACGGCCUGAAGACUUUCAGUGACACUAAUAGUUGCAAACCUGUGUACACCCCAGCUUCAGAUUUGGGACUUUGGGAUCUUCUUUUCCUCUAACAUUGGGAUUAUCAGUAAAAAUAGUAGACAAAAACCUCUGGCAGUGCUGAGUUAAAUCUGUGUCCUUCACGUUCAGUUCCAAACUUCUGACGGAGAAAAGAAUUCAAAUCAUUCUUAACCAAAGGAUAAUUUUCCCAUUUUAGGACAGGCUUCAGUCAUGUACUGAAGGGCGGACCAUCUGAAAAGGCAGAAUUCAGAUCUGCAGGCUGACAGAAGGGAGGAACUUUGUCUGCUGCCCUCAGCACCUCAGCAAAUCACUUAUAAAUUCUACCCACCAACUGCAGUUCUUCCAACAGUUUUAGAAGCAUGGCUGUAAAACCACAGCUGCCCGAAGUGCUGCGUUAUGCACUUGUACUUGAAUUUACUUAUUGAGCUGUCUGUCUAGCAAAUGGAAAAACUGAAGUAAAUAUUUUCAAUAUGAAAUCUGAAACUUCUAUGAAUUAAGCCCCAAAGCAGCUUGGCUUCCUGAAUCAUUUCUGCAAAAAAAUUCUCAUCCAUACAAGGUUAUUUAAUCCAAGUCAAUACUAAGAAACUCAGAGAGAUGAAAACUGUCAUAUAAAAGUGAAACUGAAGUUCUUCGAGGGCUUCAUUUCCAUCCACUGUUGUUUUUAUUGGAAUGAGCAAAGCUUAGAAUAUGGUGAUAUAUAUAUAUAUUUUUUUUUUUUUGCCAAGAUUUUGACUUAACAGCUUCUGAUCAGCAGCAUUUUCUCAACAGCAUUUUUAUGAAGGAGCCCAUGUGUAUGGGAACAAGCAAUGCAUUUUCUGCCUUCAGUACUGUAGUCUAAUCAAGCCAGCUCAAAGGCAAACGCAGUCUUUCAAGCAGUCAGUAUAUUUUUGUAUUUGAAUGUAAUGUGUUGAAACUACUCAGAUUUAACAGGGAGCUGCAAAUGCAUGCACUGCCAACCACAUGAAUUAUAGCCCUUCUGGUUAUGGUGGGAUCGCUAUGUUUAUCACCAGCAUUGCUACAACCCUACACACUUCUGCUAUAGAAAAGGCAGGAUGCGUUAAACAAGGGACAUCUGCAAGGGCAAGAAACAGUCAGUAGAGUACUAAAACUGCACACUUACAGUUUUUAAGAGUUGAAAAGCCAAGCACACCUCCUUUCUGCCACAGCCUGCAUGCUUCUUCAUACUGUCUCAUACAAGUGGGAGUACUGUCAGUUCCUACUAGUCUGAGCGAGAAAACGCUACUUAUGUGGAAUGUAAUCAAUGCACAUCACGUACUAUGGCUAUAAUAAAG